rnacentral:rRNA from 1 species
AUUGAACGCUGGCGGCAGGCUUAACACAUGCAAGUCGAGCGGUAGCACAGGGGAGCUUGCUCCCUGGGUGACGAGCGGCGGACGGGUGAGUAAUGUCUGGGAAACUGCCUGAUGGAGGGGGAUAACUACUGGAAACGGUAGCUAAUACCGCAUAACGUCGCAAGACCAAAGAGGGGGACCUUCGGGCCUCUUGCCAUCAGAUGUGCCCAGAUGGGAUUAGCUAGUAGGUGGGGUAAUGGCUCACCUAGGCGACGAUCCCUAGCUGGUCUGAGAGGAUGACCAGCCACACUGGAACUGAGACACGGUCCAGACUCCUACGGGAGGCAGCAGUGGGGAAUAUUGCACAAUGGGCGCAAGCCUGAUGCAGCCAUGCCGCGUGUGUGAAGAAGGCCUUCGGGUUGUAAAGCACUUUCAGCGAGGAGGAAGGUGGUGAACUUAAUACGUUCAUCAAUUGACGUUACUCGCAGAAGAAGCACCGGCUAACUCCGUGCCAGCAGCCGCGGUAAUACCGAGGGUGCAAGCGUUAAUCGGAAUUACUGGGCGUAAAGCGCACGCAGGCGGUUUGUUAGUCAGAUGUGAAAUCCCCGGGCUCAACCUGGGAACUGCAUUUGAAACUGGCAAGCUAGAGUCUCGUAGAGGGGGGUAGAAUUCCAGGUGUAGCGGUGAAAUGCGUAGAGAUCUGGAGGAAUACCGGUGGCGAAGGCGGCCCCCUGGACGAAGACUGACGCUCAGGUGCGAAAGCGUGGGGAGCAAACAGGAUUAGAUACCCUGGUAGUCCACGCUGUGAACGAUGUCGAUUUGGAGGUUGUGCCCUUGAGGCGUGGCUUCCGGAGCUAACGCGUUAAAUCGACCGCCUGGGGAGUACGGCCGCAAGGUUAAAACUCAAAUGAAUUGACGGGGGCCCGCACAAGCGGUGGAGCAUGUGGUUUAAUUCGAUGCAACGCGAAGAACCUUACCUACUCUUGACAUCCAGAGAACUUAGCAGAGAUGCUUUGGUGCCUUCGGGAACUCUGAGACAGGUGCUGCAUGGCUGUCGUCAGCUCGUGUUGUGAAAUGUUGGGUUAAGCCCCGCAACGAGCGCAACCCUUAUCCUUUGUUGCCAGCGGUUCGGCCGGGAACUCAAAGGAGACUGCCAGUGAUAAACUGGAGGAAGGUGGGGAUGACGUCAAGUCAUCAUGGCCCUUACGAGUAGGGCUACACACGUGCUACAAUGGCAUAUACAAAGAGAAGCGACCUCGCGAGAGCAAGCGGACCUCAUAAAGUAUGUCGUAGUCCGGAUUGGAGUCUGCAACUCGACUCCAUGAAGUCGGAAUCGCUAGUAAUCGUAGAUCAGAAUGCUACGGUGAAUACGUUCCCGGGCCU